AUAACACUAGCCGACAAUGGAUUUUGCUCUGAAAUAAAAAUUAUAUAUUUUGGUUCCUGUUAGUAUGUAUAUCAUUAGAAAAAUAAUAAAAAAAAAUCCUUAGGUCUAAUUACGAUAAUAUUAUUGAAGUUAUACUUCUUAUACGAGUUCGGAAAAGGUUGCGAUAGAUUCAGGUGCAUGGAGUACAUAUCAAAGAAACCUAUGAAAAUAUCAAAAAUCUACUACAAAAAAUACAGUAUGCUAAACAUUCUUGGAAAAUUUGUUCUGAUUUAAAAGUAGUUGGGAUGUUACUAGGUAUGCAAGCUGGUUACACAAAAUUUUGCUGUUUUAUGUGUGAAUGGGAUAGCAGAGCUCAAAGCAAACACUAUAUCCUAAAAGAGUGGCCAAAAAGAACAGACUAUGUACCUAAUCAGAAAAGUGUGUCCAAUCUUCGCCUCGUUGAACCCGAGAAUAUUGUAUUGCCACCCCUUCAUAUAAAAUUAGGCGUAAUGAAAAAUUUUGUAAAAGCAAUGGAUAAAACGGGAGAAGGUUUUCAAUACCUUAAAAGUAUAUUUCCGAGACUUAGUGAUGCGAAAUUAAAAGAAGGAAUUUUUGUGGGGCCAGACAUACGACGAGUUAUGAAGGAUCAAAACUUUGUCUCUAAACUAAAUACGCUAGAAAAAAAGCAUGGCUUUCAUUUGUUGAGGUUGUAAAAAUUUUUUGGGUAACACCAAAUCACCCGAUUAUGAAGAACUCAUAUCAAGCCUAUUGACGGAUUUUCAGGCUUUAGGGUGUAACAUGUCCCUGAAAAUACAUUUCCUACAUUCGCA